AAGGACUAUUACACAGGGGAACCUCGUGGGUUUGCAUUUGUGCAGUUUUUGGAUUCAUAUGAUGCCAUGGAAGCUCAGCGUCGCAUGAAUGGACAAAUUUUUGCUGGGAGAGAAAUAUCAGUGGUGGUAGCAGCAGAGACGAGGAAAAGGCCUCAGGAGAUGCGGCAAAGAGCCAGGGUUAGAGGACCAUCAGGCUAUGGUGGACGAUCAUCUUAUUAUGGACGUUCACGCUCCCCUCAUCAUCAUUUAGGUUCUAGGUCUCGGUAUCGCUCAAGAUCAUAUUCUCCUGCCUCAAGGCGGCCGGACUACUCUGCUUCCUCAGGUAGAAGGCAUACAGACCAUCUAAGGUCUCCUGGGAGUCCUCCACCUGAGCGAGAUGCUGAUCACAUUCACAGGUCUUACUCUCCUGGAUAUGGUGUGGAUGAAAAUGGCCAUGGUUAUGGCGAGA
rnacentral:misc_RNA from 1 species